rnacentral:lncRNA from 1 species
CAGGGGUUGGGGACCCCUGAUCUAUUCUGUCCUAGGAUCUCCAGCCUUCUGAAAAGAUGCUCAAAGGGAGCUCUCUGCAUUUAAAGGCAGCUGUUGGGCUGAGUGUGAUGUAAUCCCAGUGCUUUGAGAGGCUUAUGGGUGUGAGCCACCACACCCAGUCUUCUACAUGGUUUUUCUGAAAGCUCUGAUUACAUGCUGAAUUUACAAAUGGUGGAAAACAAGGAGUAAUGGUUAAUAAGCUGAAUGGUACAGUACAAAUUACACAAGGAACAAUACAUGAAUUAGAAAUUUAAAAUUUAGUUGAAAUAUAAAAUAAAUUAUUGCCAGAAACACAAAGGGCACAUGAAUACAAUAGGGGAAACAGCUUAAUGGCUUUCUGUUCUCUGAAAACUCAAGGCCCAUCUCUGAGUGAUAAGAGUACCCUAACAGGCAAAGCCCUCUGAGGUCCGGGACCAGGAAGACAGUGCUACUCCACCUACUGGCGGUCUGGCACUAUCUGUAGGCUGGAGUUGGGCUGGGGAUGGUACAUUCAAAAUGGACUUUGGUAAACUAGGGGACAACCCAGACAAACACUGCAGAAAGGAGGAAGGACUCCCUUUCCAGCAUCUCAAAUUCAAGGCUCCAAGUUACUGGGCUUGGGCAAAGUCACACAUUUUCUCAACAAAGGCCAACUGCUGACAAUCCAAAUUUUAAAAACACUGCCAUUAGCCACCGUGCCCGACCGAGUUCUUUUUUUAAUGAAAAGAAUUUGACAUUCCUGCAGUAGAUAUAAGGCAGCAGAAACAGGAACUGUGCAGGCAUGUGUAACAAGAAUGCAGAUGCCAUUUAUU